rnacentral:rRNA from 1 species
CUACGGGUGGCAGCAGUGGGGAAUAUUGGACAAUGGGGGAAACCCUGAUCCAGCAAUGCCGCGUGUGUGAAGAAGGCCUGCGGGUUGUAAAGCACUUUCGGUUGGGAGGACUGCUUCUAGCACUAAUAUUGUUGGAAGUUGACGUUACCUUCAGAAGAAGCACCGGCUAACUCCGUGCCAGCAGCCGCGGUAAUACGGAGGGUGCAAGCGGUAAUCGGAAUGACUGGGCGUAAAGCGCGCGUAGGCGGCUAGAUCAGUCGGGUGUGAAAGCCCCGUGCUUAACCUGGGAACUGCAUCCGAUACUGUCUAGCUUGAGUACAGGAGAGGAGAGUGGAAUUCCACAUGUAGCGGUGAAAUGCGUAGAUAUGUGGAGGAACACCAAUGGCGAAGGCAGCUCUCUGGCCUGAUACUGACGCUGAGGUGCGAAAGCGUGGGGAGCAAACAGGAUUAGAUACCCCAGUAGUC